AGCGAACGCUGGCGGCAGGCCUAACACAUGCAAGUCGAGCGCCCCGCAAGGGGAGCGGCAGACGGGAGAGUAACACGUGGGAACGUACCCUUCAGUUCGGAACAACCCAGGGAAACUUGGGCUAAUACCGGAUACGUCCGUAAGGAGAAAGAUUUAUCGCUGAAGGAUCGGCCCGCGUCCGAUUAGCUAGUUGGUGAGGUAACGGCUCACCAAGGCGACGAUCGGUAGCUGGUCUGAGAGGAUGAUCAGCCUCACUGGGACUGAGACACGGCCCAGACUCCUACGGGAGGCAGCAGUGGGGAAUAUUGGACAAUGGGCGCAAGCCUGCGCCAGCCAUGCCGCGUGCAUGAUGAAGGCCUUAGGGGUGUAAAGUCCUUGCGGCGGGGAAGAUAAUGACGGUACCCGCAGAAGAAGCCCCGGCUAACUACGUGCCAGCCGCCGCAGUAAUAC
rnacentral:rRNA from 1 species